rnacentral:misc_RNA from 1 species
UUAAGUUCAGCGGGUAUCCCUACCUGAUCCGAGGUCAAACUUGGGGUGGAGGCUUCCUGGAGAGCCAGGCACCGUCGGACGCCGCGCGCGUUUCUGCUGCGCUCGAAGCCAACGUACCGGCUGCCAAUGCAUUUGAGGCGAGUCCCCGGGAGGACAGACGCCCAACACCAAGCCAUGAGGGGGGCUUGAAGUUUGAAAUG